GUGAUGCAGCUACAUCAUUAAUUUUUUACACGAAGCCACAUUGUGAAGAGAGAAAUAUAAAAAAAUAAACUCAGAUUAAGACAAUUUCUCUCAUUGCUGCAGCUGCGAGCAGCAAGGUAGCAAACCUAAAGCUUACGGCUGGCAAAAUUAACAUUUUAGUUUGUGGAAUGCAUUUUGGGUAAGAGUAUGGACCCUAAAUGCAGUACGCUUGACUCAAGUGCAAAGGGCUCUUCAUUCAAAACAGACGUGAAUAACAAGCGGUAAUCGUUAUUCAAUUACUGCGUCUCCUGGCCAAACAGUGUUACUGAUGCUAUAUGAAAUUCUUUUGUACUUGACUUACGGUAAUUAAAAGUAUAUAUGAUGAUUUAUUGAUGACUCAACUGUUUUUUCUGGGAUGGUAAUGUCCAAGUUGUGUUUUGGCCAUUUUUACCAUGGUUUACAGUCCUGGUGCGGUUGCUGCUGUGCCUCGUUCGCUUUUACUGUAGUUCACAGAAAGAUUCCUUCCCGAUCACUGAGCACAUACCAUCGAGACUAUUUAAUGAAGGAAAAUUCGCAACGUUUUUUUUUCUCUCAUGUGAUUACUUCGAUGCACAGCUACUGUCACUGAGUGUAUGUUAUACCUCGUCUAUUGCCUUGUGUUUGUAGUUCGUGCAGUCAGAAAAUCUCUCCAUAGAUUCAGUGAAUACACUCAUUAACUAACAACCAGCAUAUAUACGCUCAAAAAGUAAACUUUUUGACUACUCAAUUAAUUCGUCUAAUGGGAAUGUUUAUAAAAAAAAACGUCGCGUUUCACCUUCACAAGAAUGUUAAAUUUAUUAACACAGUUUUAUUGUAUUAGUUUUGAGACACUCUUUUCUAACACAAAUCUUCCACGGGCCUUCAUUCUGUUAUUUGCUUUCUGAUAUUUCUGUUUCUGAGUGGGGUUUCUUAGUGGGUUUUUGGUUUCUGCCGUGAUUCCGAUUUUUGAUGCUUUUGUAGCCAUGUGCCGUUUUUGGCUUAGUCUUGCAUCAUUUUACUCUGACAUUUUCAUUUGUUUUAAUACUCGUUACGUUUAUUUGGUAUGUACUAUUAUACAGAGUUAAAGACUCAAGCUCUGAACCGAGUUCAAAUUUGUGGUCAGACUUCAGCUUUGACUUGAUUUGUGACUAAAAAUAGGCACGCAUAGCGUACAUGUGGUUAGCUUUUCAAAUUUGUGGUCAUUGCACAAAUUGAACCAGGAUUGAUCCUCAGAUCAUGGUACAUAUAAUAUUAAAGAGUUUCAACAUCAUUAGCAUCAAGCUUUAAAAUAAAAAUGUUUGGGAUUUUUUAAAA